AAAUUGAAGAGUUUGAUCAUGGCUCAGAUUGAACGCUGGCGGCAGGCCUAACACAUGCAAGUCGAACGGUAACAGGAAGCAGCUUGCUACUUCGCUGACGAGUGGCGGACGGGUGAGUAAUGUCUGGGAAACUGCCUGAUGGAGGGGGAUAACUACUGGAAACGGUAGCUAAUACCGCAUAACGUCGCAAGACCAAAGAGGGGGACCUUCGGGCCUCUUGCCAUCGGAUGUGCCCAGAUGGGAUUAGCUUGUUGGUGGGGUAACGGCUCACC
rnacentral:rRNA from 2 species